ensembl:lncRNA
CUUUGAUUUGACAUUUAUUCUUUUAAGGUUACAGAGGAACUGUGCCAUAAUCACAUGCUCUGCUCUUGGGUGAUCUUAUGAAAGACUCUCCUUAAGAUGGACCCUCAAGGCGCAGUUUACUUUUUUAUUUAAAAAAAAAAAAAACAUUUUUUUUUCUCCUCUCACCAAUUUUUGAUUCAGACCAAGAUAAUUAUAAAUCAUUAUUACAAAGGCAGGCUCUUCAAACAUCUUGGAGAGGCUCUCUCUUCCCGACGAGGCAUCAAAAGGUAGCUUGCGUCUGAUGAGGUCAUUACAGUAGAAGGUUUGGUCAUGCUAACAUGCUCUUGGAGAGGCUCUCUCUUCCCGACGAAGCAUCAAAAGGUAGCUUGCGUCUGAUGAGGUCAUUACAGUAGAAGGUUUGGUCUCUCUCCAAGAGCGUUGUCUCAUUAGUUGUUUUUGUUACACCUAGACGUGGCGGUACAAUAAACAACCAUCAGUUCAUCGAUUUAGUCAGGUCCAAGUCCUCUAUGUCGUUGUCACACAUCACAGCACAGACCAGGAUGCCUCACUCGCCUGGGGAUAAAUAUUUAACUUCAUUAAAUGACAAAAACAAACGCCACAGAAAUGAAAUUAUUUUGUGACUGCCUUUUUACUCACAAAUUUUGACCCGGGUGACUGCGGCAUGCUUGGCUGUGACGUGUUAAAAAAAACAGAAACUGUAGGUCUAGUGUCCCCAUGACUACGCAGUAGCAAUCAUCCUCAGCUUUGAUAGAAUGGCCCACAAUAAGCCACUGUAAAAGUUGUUAAGAAACUUCAGUUCAGGAAUACUAGUAAUUAAAAUACCAAGAGGUCAACCUUGGAGAUACUAAAAUGCUAAAUGCAAAUCACUGAAAUAAAAUAAAAUGUUGAAACAUUGCUUUUGUGAGACAGGCUUUAGAAUUCUGUACUUAUACAUCAAACCUUUUAUUUCAAUUAAAAAAAGAAAACAUUCAAAGGAAAAUGGUCAAUGGACAAAAGGGCAAUUUUUCCUUUCUUCAUUCAAAGUCCUUGGACGCUUUCACAUGCUCAGUUCAUUAAUUAAAUAUGCUAUACUCAAUCAAUGUUCGUUUGAAAGCUUGUCAGAUUGUGUGAAUGAAAGGCGUUAUUGCAGCCUUGAUCAGUGGAAUUGUGUGCAGCUGCACUUCUAAUGAUGUAACAGAAUGCAUUGCCAUAUGUCCAAGACUUAUGGUACAAAAAAUAACAGCCCCUACAUCAAUAACCAUUUUACAAUCACUUUUGUAUUCGCAUCUCUUUUAAUAAUGGAUAAAGACACGAAACAUUUACCAAAGACAAGAGCUGUCAAUGUCUUUUCUUGGUGUGUUUCCCUUACAAAAAAAGGAAUGUGUUGCUGCAAACGUCCCUUAAUUAAGGUUGUGGCAAAUUUGCUGCAAACUAAAUAGUGUGCCAAAAAAUGUCGCCAGAGGUUUGCAAAUGUUUGCCACUAGUGGUGCAUCUGCGGCAACAAUCAUAUGUAGUAGCAGCAAACAGUUCACCAGAGUUUUUUUCUGGAAAAAAAUUAUCUCGAGAUUCUUCUAUUUCAAUCUGUGGCAAACCUGUGGCAACAAUAUUUAUUGCCACUAGUGGCAAACAGUUUACCAGAAGUCGUUUCUGUUGAACACAGGAGUUCCAAGACCAGAAAGUCUGUGGAAGAAGAAACAUUUGUUGUAAAUGGAAACCAAAUUACAAAGUUGUAUGAUGAGUGUCUAACUUGUUAAUUAAACUUCCCAAUAAACAAAUAAAUUAUGUUAGCUAAUUGAUGCCUAGUAAGCGAUGGAGUUUUAUGGGAUGGAGAAGCAAUACUCCAAGCCACAGCUUCAUAGUGCUUUUCAAACAUAGAGAACUGAUACUGUACACUGGUUAUUGGAAAGACAGUACUGUGCAAUGUCGAGGAGCCCUCAACUGCUGCUCGAUCAGCCUACUUUUUCAACCUGAAUGAGGAGAAUAAAAACAAUACAAAAUGUAUUUUUGAUACUGCCGCAAAGCUAACUGGAAAGCAGUAUUCCCCAAGUGAGGAUGGUCUUCUUUGAAUCUAAAAGUGGCAGUAAUAAAGCCUCUCUUGAAAAAGCCAAACCUUGACUCAGAAACUAUCAGCCUAUAUAGAAACUCCCUUUCCUCUCAAAACUGUUAGACAAAGCUGUUGAGCACUAACUCACUGCCGUCCCGAAGACAAAUAAUGUAUAUCAAACGCUCCCGUCUGGUUUUAGACCUCCUCAUGAGACUGCACUUGUGAAGGUAGUAAAUUACUUUUCAACGGCAUCAGACCGAGGCUCUGCAUCUGUCCUCGUGCUCCGAGACCUUAGUGCCGCUUUUGACACCAUCGAUCCCCACAUUCUUUUGGAGAGAUUGAAAACCCUAAUUGGUCUCCACGGACAAGUUCUUGCCCCAAAAUUGCCCUACCUGGAAGACUGUUUCAGACAUAAGGAAGUGGAUGGCGGUAAAUGUUUGACUUUUAAACUCGGACCAAACAGAGAUGCUUGUUCUAGGUCCCAAGAAACAAAGAGAUCUGCUGUUUGAUCUGACAAUUAAUCUUAAUGGUUGUACAGUCAUCUCAAAUUAGACUGUGAAGGACCUCAGCGUUACUCUGGACCCUUAUCUCUCUUUUGACGAACAUAGCAAGAAUAUUUCAAGGGCAGCUUUUAUCCAUCUUCUUAACAUUGCAAAAACCAGAAACUUCAAUGCUUUUGUCACUUCUAUAUUAGACUAUUAAAAUGCUCUAUUCUCCGGCUACCCAGAUAAAGCACUAAAUAAAGUUCAGUAAAUAUGGUUGCUAGAAUCUUGACUAGAGCCCAAAAAUUUGAUCAUAUUGCUCCAGUGCCAGCCUCUCUACUGGCUACCCUUAACUAGCUUCCUGAUAAGGCUAGGUCUGAUUUCAAGGUUUUACUGCUAACCUACAAAGCGUUACAUGGACUUGCUUCUACCUCUCUGAUUUGGUCUGCCGUACAUACCUACAAGUACACUAAGACGCAGGGCUCCUUAUUGUCCCAAGAAUUUCUAAGUAGCUGGAGUUUCUAUUGAGCC